rnacentral:rRNA from 1 species
GGUGAGUAACACGUGGAUAACCUACCUAUAAGACUGGGAUAACUUCGGGAAACCGGAGCUAAAUACCGGAUAAUAUAUUGAACCGCAUUGUUCAAUAGUGAAAGACGGUUUUGCUGUCACUUAUAGAUGGAUCCGCGCCGCAUUAGCUAGUUGGUAAGGUAACGGCUUACCAAGGCAACGAUGCGUAGCCGACCUGAGAGGGUGAUCGGCCACACUGGAACUGAGACACGGUCCAG